rnacentral:rRNA from 1 species
UUGACCUCGAAUCAGGUGGGACUACCCGCUGAACUUAAGCAUAUCAAUAAGCGGAGGAAAAGAAACUAACAAGGAUUCCCCUAGUAACGGCGAGUGAAGCGGGAAGAGCUCAAAUUUAAAAUCUGGUAAUCUUUGGUUGCCCGAAUUGUAAUCUAGAGAAGCGUUUUCCGUGCUGGACUGUGUACAAGUUUCCUGGAUACGGAACAUCAUAGAGGGUGAGAAUCCCGUCCUUGACACAGACUCCCAGCACUUUUGUGAUGCGCUCUCGACGAGUCGAGUUGUUUGGGAUUGCAGCUCAAAAUGGGAGGUAAAUUCCUUCUAAAGCUAAAUAUUGGCGAGAGACCGAUAGCGAACAAGUACCGUGAGGGAAAGAUGAAAAGCACUUUGGAAAGAGAGUUAAACAGUACGUGAAAUUGUUAAAAGGGAAACGCUUGAAGUCAGUCGCGUUUGCUUGGACUCAGCCUUACUUCGGUUUGGUGCAUUUCCUUGCAGACGGGCCAGCGUCCAUGUUGUUUGCCGGAAAAGGGGCGAGAGAAUGUGGCUCCUUCGGGAGUGUUAUAGCUUUUGCUCGUAUGC